UGCCAUUGAAACUGGGAGACUUGAGUAUGUUUGAGGUAGGCGGAAUGCGUGGUGUAGCGGUGAAAUGCAUAGAUAUCACGCAGAACUCCGAUUGCGAAGGCAGCUUGCCAAGCCAUAACUGACACUGAAGCACGAAAGCGUGGGUAUCAAACAGGAUUAGAUACCCUGGUAGUCCACGCAGUAAACGAUGAUUACUAGGAGUUUGCGAUAAAAUGUAAGCUCUACAGCGAAAGCGUUAAGUAAUCCACCUGGGGAGUACGCCGGCAACGGUGAAACUCAAAGGAAUUGACGGGGGCCCGCACAAGCGGAGGAACAUGUGGUUUAAUUCGAUGAUACGCGAGGAACCUUACCCGGGUUUGAACGCAGUCCGACCGCCGAUGAAAGUCGGCUUCUAGCAAUAGCGGAUUGCGAGGUGCUGCAUGGUUGUCGUCAGCUCGUGCCGUGAGGUGUCGGCUUAAGUGCCAUAACGAACGCAACCCUUGCCGUUAGUUACUAACAAGUUAUGUUGAGGACUCUAGCGGGACUGCCAGCGUAAGCUGUGAGGAAGGCGGGGAUGACGUCAAAUCAGCACGGCCCUUACAUCCGGGGCGACACACGUGUUACAAUGGCGUGGACAAAGAGCAGCCACUUGGCGACAAGGAGCUAAUCUCCAAACCACGUCUCAGUUCGGAUCGGAGUCUGCAACUCGACUCCGUGAAGCUGGAUUCGCUAGUAAUCGCGCAUCAGCCAUGGCGCGGUGAAUACGUUCCCGGGCCUUGUACACACCGCCCGUCAAGCCAUGGGAGCCGNNNNUACCUGAAGUCCGUAACCGCGAGGAUCGGCCUAGGGUAAAACUGGUGACUGGGGCUAAGUCGUAACAAGGUAACCA
rnacentral:rRNA from 1 species